GAUGGAAAGCACUUUGAAAAGAGGGUGAAAAGCACCUGAAACCGCCAUGGGGGAAGCGGAUUGCAUCAGUGUUUGCUUGUAUCUGUUCAGCUAUCAAAAUGGUAGUGUAUUCAGUACUUGCUGUGUUGGCAUGGCUGCUUUGGCUUUGGAUUAUGCAAGGCUAAGUGGUGAGGGCUCCUUUCUAGUUGAGGAUGUCAACAAAAUGAUGCGACCCGACCCGUCUUGAAACACGGACCAAGGAGUCUAGCACUACUGCAAGUCGAAGGGUUUAAAAACUCAUGGGCGAAGUGAAAGCGAAUAUUAGGAGAUCUGAAACAGAUUAGGGAGGUGUUGCGACUUUGUCAAAAUAUCCUACCCAGAGCAGUUGUGCUGGGACCCGAAAGAUGGUGAACUAUGCCGGAAUAGGGCAAAGCCAGAGGAAACUCUGGUGGAGGCUCGUAGCGAUGCUGACGUGCAAAUCGCUCGUCGAAUUUGGGUAUAGGGGCGAAAGACUAAUCGAACCAUCUAGUAGCUGGUUCCCUCCGAAGUUUCUCUCAGGAUAGCGGGCCGACGAUGUGGGUUGUUUUGUGU
rnacentral:rRNA from 1 species